rnacentral:rRNA from 1 species
CAGCCGCCACGGGAAUACGAAGGGGGCUAGCGUUGCUCGGAAUUACUGGGCGUAAAGGGCGCGUAGGCGGCGCUCCAAGUUAGGCGUGAAAUUCCCGGGCUCAACCUGGGGACUGCGCUUAAGACUGGAGUGCUUGAGGAUGGAAGAGGGUUGUGGAAUUCCCAGUGUAGAGGUGAAAUUCGUAGAUAUUGGGAAGAACACCGGUGGCGAAGGCGGCAACCUGGUCCAUUACUGACGCUGAGGCGCGAUAGCGUGGGGAGCAAACAGGAUUAGAUACCCCAGUAGUCCCUGUCUCUUAUAC